CUGGUCGAAUGUUCCUCGGCAUAAUAUUAUGAUAAAAGUUUAAAAAGAAUGCUUGUGGAAAUUGAAAGUUGUAUAUUUUGGUUUGCAGAGCUCUAUUAUUAUAUUUGCACGUUUUGAUAAUUAUGACUUAGCCUGCCACGACGCCAAUUGAACGCCAAAGGUACAUGUAUCUGCGCUCAUAUGGGAGGGGGUAUCCGUAUGAAUUCCAUUUUUAGGUUUGGAAAGGCAUUCACAAAAUAGAAAUAUAAUUAGAGCAUGAUGAGAUAGUAGCAUCAUUGUGAAAUUGCUAAGUAAGACCGCAGGCUAUAGUGCCUUGCUGUCAUAGCUCGACCACUCAGAAACUUUGUCAAUGUCACACCAUGAGCCAUAACCAUAGCUCAAUGAGCACGCUCUACCUGAUAUGAUUAAAUCCUUCCCUGCAGAAUGUCAAAUAUUUCCACGUAUUGAUCUGAUCUUCGAACACCGUAUGCCUGUUCAUUGUUUCACAAUUGUUGCUACGGUUACUGUUGCCGUAGUUGUUGAAGUUGUUGUUGGAGCGGUUCUUGCAUAAUAACUACAUGUGGUAUUAAAGAGUUGAUGAACAGAAACACACCAAGAAAGCAUUACGUUGAAUUCCUCUACUUUUAUCUGCUCCCCAAAACGUUUUAAAAAUUGUUCGUAAGACGCAACUUGUUCAAUACUCCCUAACAACCUGGUCCAUGAAUGGAUGAAAAUAUACAUACCGGUGUCCACAGUUAAACCUUCAAAAGAAGUAGGUCCUGCUAAAAGGACGCCAUCAAUUAAACACCAUCAACAAGUGCAA